UACCCUGCUAAAUACUAGGUCUGGGUUAGAAAGGGAGCAAAAGAGCUGCUUUUCAGGUUAAAAGAGAUCAUAUGAAACGGUGAGUGGCAAGAUCUUAGUCAGAGUAAAUUGUCAUGGGUGAGACUGUAAUUAAUGUCGUGCUUUUAUUCUUUCAAUGGCUAACAGCCCCCAGUUUUCUUGUAUCAAGGAAAGCAGUCAUCGUUGGAAGAGUCGUUUCCAGCUAAAAACUUACCUCCAGUACCCCACAGGCCCAGGCCAGCCACAGAAGGACCGGUUCAUUGUGGUUCUUCUCUGCACUUCCCAGCUGGACUCUGGCCAGGGCCCACCUAGAGCCAGCGGAUGGUUAUUCAGGAAACAGCUCCAAGAAGGAGACCCUCGGGAACAACAUUUUGUCCUUUAUUCCCCCUUCCAGACAAAGGGAAAGGAAAAGGAAAUUCAUGGAGCCCGUCUCUACAGCAGAUGAUCCAUUUGUGGUACUGCAUUUCAUUCUCGCAACAGUUCCAGGAGCUCCAGGCUCCCGUUCCCAUCAGACGGACAGGAAGCUGCAGGCCUGAGGAUGAAGAUAUCUUAUCUAAGGUCACACAGUCAACUAGCUGAAAAAGGGAGAUUCCACCUUCAAAGCGGAAUUACAGCCUCCACGUGGGUCCACCGAGUUGGACCUCAGGCCUUCUGUGGGUAGGAACCUCUGGCUCAGAGUGAGCAACAAAUCCCACACUGGGACAUUGACCCCUGCAGAGGGAACAGCUCACAUUGUGGCUCCCACAAUAAUGACCCAGGGCUCUUCGAUGGUGCGCCAGGAGUGUUUAACAACCGGCUCUCUGGAGUGAGGGCAUGUGUUCUGCUUUCUGUGAUGCAAAUAUUUCUCCCUGGCCAAUUUUGAGCUAUCAGCAAGAGAGCAUUGGCCCUCCUGAGCUGCACAAGCCAGCUCCAACACACCAGCUCCAACACACGCCAGCCAGCACUCUUAGUACAUCCCUGGCCAGCCCCAGACCCGUCAAACCUGAAUUCCUAGGGGCGGGGCCCAAAUCUUGGUAUUUUUCUUAAAGAGGAGAGCCAAGGGUUGAGAACCGCUGGGCUCAAAGCUUCAUGUUCAGGGGCCUGUUGGCCUUUUGGGUUUUGUCCUGGUGAGAAAAUACUAGGCUCCGGAAUUAAGUGCUGGCCAUCAGAUCUGCGUUGGAAAGAUGCUUCUGUUCUUUCCUGAGUAUGGCCAGCCACCAAAUCUCAAGCCCCGGCCACCGCAGCCACACGCCAGCCAUUUAUUCCAGGUGUUCUACACACGGUCAGUCACCUCUGCCCCAGACCUAGGGCCCCAGCGAUUCUAGCACAGGGUCACAAACCCAAACAUCCACAGGGAAGGCAGUAAAGGGAUGCUCCCAAGCCAGUUUCCACAGGACAACUGCAGUGUGAUGGGAACUCUGGAGGCCGUGCAGAAUGCCCCUCGGAGUCACCCCAGCCGCGAGGCAAGACAUUAGGUUCUCAUCCAACACCUUGUCUGCCGUUGGUGAGAGAUGCCUCUGGGAUAUUAACUUUAUGGCACUUUUGGCUGACCCCGAGCUCAGGACAAGCACCUUCCGAGAUGAGAAAAAGUUCUCACAUAUCUUAAAGAACGAAAAAUAGAACUACCAUUCAACCCAGCAAUCCCCUACAGGUAUUGGAAACCAAAGGAAAAGAGAUCAUUAUAUUAAAAAGACACCUGCACUCAGAUGUUAUCGCAGCACUAUUCCCAAUAGCAAAGUCACGUGUCCACCAGUGGCAGAUUAGAUGAAGCAAAUGUGGUCCAUAUACACCGUGGGAUACGAUGCAGCCAUAAAAAAGAAUGACAUCGUGUCCUUUUCAGCAACACGGAUGGAACCGGAAGCCAUUAUCCUAAGGGAAAUAACUCAGAAGCAGAAGAUCAACCACUGCCUGUUCUCACUGAGAAGUGGGGGUUGACCAGUGGGUGCACUUGGACAGAAAGGUGGAAAUAAUAGACACUGGGGACCCCCGAAGAGGGGAGGGUGGGGAGGGGAAAGGAUUGGAAAACUACUACUGGGUACCAUCUUCACUAUUCGAGUGGUGGGUACACUAGAAGCCCAAUUCCCACCAGGACAAAAUACACCCAUGAAACAAGCACAGGUGCACCCUGAAUCUAAAACAUUUUUAGAAAGCAAAGGCUCUCAGGGGUGUUUGCAGUAAGCAGCCUCUGGGGCACAUGUGAAUGUCGAGAAGGUGUGGGCAGGGCGCAGGCAGCACCUGCUACGCGCAGGAACCGAAACACGAGUGCCAGGAUGCUCGGUAAGCAGCUCACUGCGGGGCACACUGAGCAAGAAGACUGCACAGCGAGUCACAGGCAGGCGCGACGGGGAACUGGGAGCCAGCACACAGCUGAAGAGAGAAGAGCGGGGGGCGGGGGCAUGACACAAGGACGGACACCAGGCGAUGUGGCGACGGACGCCAGGAGCUCCACAGCUGAUUUCUGCCCUUGCCCUUCUCUAGCCUCCUAGGUGGGCUUCUAAGUGGGCGCAGGACUCAGCAUCUGAGAGAAGAGUCCUACAAAAUGCAAGAUGGAGGCAACACUGUCAAAGGUGUCUUCAGGGUCUCUCCUGAUGCUUUUCUCCCUUUGGAAACUCCGGCCCCUGUGUGCAGUCGGCUCCAGCUGAGGCAGGGGCCAGGAUGAUCCAAGGGAACCACAAAUCGUGUAGGAAGCAACAGGCAACCUCGCAGAAGGUAAGUGCCUGUGUUAGUCCAGGUCUGAGGAUCAUAUGCCAAGACGGGAUGAAACAUGCAAGGGUUGUAUCAGGGGAAAUGCCCGGAUGGAAACUAGGUGGGGAACUGGAGGAAGCUGGAGGAGUCAGCAAUGCAGGGCUGACCCAGAGAGAAGGAGAGCAGGAAGGAGGGUGGGGUGGAAUCGUCCUAGACUGUCAUGCAUCGGAGGGAGGGGUUACAAGGCCCUGGGGACUCCUGGAGCCAAAGGCAGCUCUCAGAGCAGCCCGUAUCUGCCAGGUGGUAACUGGGGGCAGCCUGCAGGAAGCGUGACCUUGGCACACACACUGCCAUCCGUUGAUCCAUUUCAGAGCCCAGCAGAGGACAUCGUUUGUCAGUUACACUCACCCCUUUCCCCACUAGAGAAUGCUCAGAAAUACUGGAAGGGCACUGGAUUUCCCACAAGUUGUGGAGGGAGUGGCAAAUUCAAAUUCUCCUGAGGCAAGGCAGUUGAUACCAGUAUAUAAGGCCAGCCUGGUGGGGACCGAGGUGAGAGGGAAGCAACGGCCUCGUCUGAAAGGGGCGUCGUUGGCCAGUGACACACAGGAGUGUGGACUGCAAUCACUAGGUCUCCUGGACAUCUAGGACAUUCCAAAGUUUCAGGUAUUUAUGUGAAAUUCCUGAUGUUUAAACAUUGGCUCAGAUUUUUCAAAAAGCCCUGCAUGGGCCAAAUAAAACACAUCCGUGACUGAA